rnacentral:lncRNA from 1 species
UGAACUAUGGAAGAACAGUGUUCUUAACUUCUGAGAUAUCUCUAGCCUAAACAUCAGAAGUUUCUAGAAGUACUUAAUAUGUAAAUAUUACUAUUUGUGAAAGUUUUAUAUUGAGAUUUCUCUAUGGCCCUGACUGUCCCUGAACUCUAUAGGCCAGAUUGGUUUCUAAGUCAGAUCUGCCUGCCUCUGCAUCCUGGAUGCGUAAGAUUGAAGGUGCAUGACCGCCUAGCAAAUUAUCUUGCAGUUUUUGUGUGCCUUUGGGGAUGGAUCUAGGCUUUUGGAGUAGACUCUUGUUUAUUAAAUUUACUGACUUGCUUCCUCAGCUAUCUUACAGUCUUGAGCCUAGUUGCCUGGGAGUGGUACCUCCCCAUAGUCUGCUGACUUUCGUAUGUCAGUUAACAGUGGAGACAUCCAGCAGGUUAAUCUGGUGGAAGUACUGCUUCCCCAAGUGUAAAUUUAGUAGGCAAGAGCCAGCCUGUGCACUUGGAAGUGUGCUGAAAACGUCAUUUAGGGCCAAGGGAUGGUUUUGUGGCUAAAGCUACAUCUCCCACGAAUAGUUUCCAUUAAGUAUGUAGAGUGCAUGGAUUAAAGUUAGUGCUUUAAAAAUUAAAAUUCACGAUUUGGUAACUAAGGCCUUUAAUCCCAGCAGAGGCAGGUGGGUCUCUAGUGUCAAGACCAGCUUGGUCUAGAUAGUUUACACCAGCCAGGACAGUCUCAGAAAACUAUUUGGGAAUAGGUACUUCAUUUAGAGACUUGGAUCUAAGGAUAGGCCAACCAGAUAGUAACUGAAUCAUUGAUUCUGUGAAU